GCGGGCGCGCUCAGCUCACAGCUGUAAAACGCCUGGAAACCUGGAAAUGCGGAAAAAUCAGCCUUUCUGUGUCCACCCGUAAAUUGCAGUACGCGAAACAGGAAAAAUGAGCUUUUGUCCGUGUCCUGGGGAACUUGGAACAGAUACAGCUCUCAUCUGCCUUCAGGACAGCCCAGUGUGUGCAGAGAAAGCACCGUGAAGGGAGUUAGAAAGACUGGGCACGGUCAGUGGGUACCAGUUCGUCCCUGCUCAGCUGGUACCACACGAGCUCCAGGCUUUGAGGAGCCUCUGAAAUCCAGUAGCAUCCUUGGCGUUUGCUGAUCUCUGGUUCUCUUCUUGCCAUUGAAAUCCCGAUUUUUCUUGUUCAGAUGACUCAAAGCCCACUCU